rnacentral:rRNA from 1 species
CAGUCGCCGCGGGAAUACGAAGGGUGCAAGCGUUAAUCGGAAUUACUGGGCGUAAAGCGUGCGUAGGCGGUUUGUUAAGUCUGUUGUGAAAUCCCCGGGCUCAACCUGGGAAUGGCAGUGGAUACUGGCUCGCUAGAGUGUGUCAGAGGAUGGUGGAAUUCUCGGUGUAGCGGUGAAAUGCGUAGAUAUGCGGAGGAACACCGAUGGCGAAGGCAGCCCCCUGGGCCAACACUGACGCUCAUGCACGAAAGCGUGGGGAGCAAACAGGAUUAGAUACCCGCGUAGUCCCUGUCUCUUAUAC